UACAGUUGAAGAAAAUGGUUACACAUGUCAUGAGACUCAAAAUCAAAACAGCAACAGUACUACGAUCCUCACUCACACCCGAAGCCAUGUCAAAUCGAUUCUUUCCCAAUCCCAUGCCAGAAUUCAUACCCGAAUCAACACCUUCAACCCAACAGGAACUCCAAGAAGCAGUCACCGUCACAACGGGCGGUGACUCACUCCUCAACCUCCUCGCCAUGCCUCAUGCUCCACUCUCCCAGCGUCUCAAACGCGCUGCAUUAGACCUCAAAGAAACUAUAGUGAUGGAAACAUGGGGUUUAACUGGACAACGUGUUGGUGACUUCACUCUAUAUUGUGGUCUUCUUGGCACUGCUUUUCUACUUUUGAAGUCUUACCAUGUCACUUGCAAUACCAAUGAUCUAGCACUUUGCUCUCAGAUUGUCAAGUCUUGUGAUGCUGCUUCUCUUUCUUCUAGGGAUGUCACUUUUAUUUGCGGACGUGCUGGUGUUUGUGCUCUUGGUGCUGUGGCUGCAAAACAUGCUGGUGAUGAUGAAUCCUUGAGAUACUACCUGGCUCAGUUCCAACAGAUUAAGCUACCGAAGGAUCUUCCUGAUGAGUUGUUAUACGGGAAAGGUGGUUUUCUAUGGGCAUGUUUGUUCUUAAACAAGCACCUUGGUCAGGGAACAGUUCCUUCCAGUUAUACUGCCACGGUAGUGGAUGAGAUUAUAAAGAAUGGUAGGGCAUUGGGUCAAAAGAGAAAAUGUCCUUUGAUGUUUGAGUGGUACGGAGAGAAGUAUUGGGGUGCUGCACAUGGUUUGGCUGGAAUUAUGAAUGUUCUUAUGGAUAUGGAAUUGAAGCCUGAUGAGCUUGAGGAUGUUAGGGGUACUCUUAAAUACAUGAUACAUAACCGCUUUCCUAGUGGAAACUAUCCUGCGAGUGAUAAAGAUAAGAAGAGCGAUGUUCUUGUGCACUGGUGCCAUGGAGCUCCUGGAAUGGCUCUUACACUUGUCAAAGCAGCUAAGGUUUUUGGAGAUAAAGAAUUCUUGGAUGCAGCUAUGGAAGCAGGAGAGGUGGUUUGGAGUCGCGGAUUGCUCAAGCGAGUGGGGAUUUGCCAUGGUAUUAGUGGGAAUGCAUACGUCUUCCUGUCACUUUACCAACUUACCGGGAACACGAAGUAUUUAUACAGAGCCAAAGCUUUUGCAUGCUUCUUACUUGAUGGAGCUCAUAAUCUGAUAUCUGGAGGUGAAAUGCAUGGAGGUGAUAGUCCCCAUUCACUGUUUGAAGGAGUAGGAGGCAUGGCUUAUCUCUUUUUGGACAUGGUUAAUCCUUCACAGUCUAAAUUCCCUGCUUAUGAACUAUGAGAAUAUACAAGUUUUGGAAGUUAUGUCUGUUACAUAACCAAUGUAAUUUGACUACAAUGUAAGGCUGUCAAUAAUGUCUAGGGAUUUUGAUUGCUUCAAAGACUUGAAAAAGGAAGUAGAUGUUUGGAAAAUUGGGUUUAGAGUUCUUGACUCAUGGAUUGUCACUGCCAGUAAUGGUAACCAACAUAUGGAGCUCAUCAUUGGAGAUGCCAAGUUUCAAAUGCAAAAAAUUAUUAAGAUUGUUGAUAUGAUGAAAGCAGAAAGGCUAUUUGAGUCUCAGGGUGGUCCAAUAAUUAUGUCUCAGAUUGAAAAUGAAUGUGGACCAACGGAGUAUGAAAUUGGUGUAAGCAGGUAUGGCUAUAGGACUCGGUACCGGAGUUCCGUGGAUCAUGUGCAAGCAAGAUGAUGCUCCUGAUUGUAAGCUAGAUAUAAUAUAAGCCAGACUAUACAUUACUUUUUUUCCUCUUUUAUGUUUGCAGGUUUACGGAGUUUGGAGGUCCAGUUCCUCACCGACCUGCUGAAGACAUGGCAUUUUCAGUUGCAAGAUUUAUACAGAAAGGAGGGUCAUUGCACUAUAAUAACCAAACAAAUUUAAAAUUAUAAAUCAGUUUUUUUACAGUCUAAUCUAAAUGUACCUGAAAACACUACUGGUUCUGGUGAAAAGGAUUGGGUUAAAGGUUCCAUUUUUCUCAUAAUUGCUACUUUUGCUUGGGCUUCUUCUUCAUCCUUCAGGUUGUGACAUUGAGGAAAUACUCAGCUCAACUCUCACUCACAGCCAUAAUAUUUUCCUUGGGCACACUUCAAUCAAUUGAUGUGACUUUUGUUAUGGAGCAUAACCCAAAUGCUUGGUGCAUUGGUUGGGACAUGAACUUAUUAGCUGCAGCCUAUGUUGGUAUAAUAUCAUCAGGUCUUACCUACUAUGUUCAAGGGAUAGUCAUGGAAAAGAAAGGACCAGUUUUUGUCAGAAUGACUAUGAUUUUUUCAAAUUAUUACCAAUGUCUAUGAAACAAGACAUGUUAAGUAGUUGGAAAUGGCAAUGAUGUAAAACUUAGCCAUCUGUACAUGUUUGUCAAGACAAGGGGUGAAAGAGUUCUUGACAGAGAUUAAUGUGAUCUCUUAAGUAGAGCAUGAAAAUUUGGUUAAGUUGUAUGGUUGUUGUGUUGAAAGAAAUAGCAGGAUAUUAGUCUACAAUUACCUUGAGAAUAAUAGCCUUUAACAAACUCUUCUAGGUAAAUGAAUUUUUUCAAAUUCAUGGAUGCUACCGGAUUGUCAUCCGAGCCAUUCCUUUCAAGACAAGGACCUGAGGCUCUUAUCUGUGUUUGUUGGUAAUCAUCUUGUGUUUUGUUUCAUCUUUCAUUAAGGAACGUUCUUCUGAAUCUUUUUAUGUUAAUCCAUGAUUUGGGUGUAAAUUGUUUCCUUCAUUUGGUCACUUAGAAGAAUGUGGAUUAUUCUUUUCUACUA